rnacentral:rRNA from 1 species
GACAGAGGGUGCAAACGUUGCUCGGAAUCACUGGGCGUAAAGGGCGCGUAGGCGGGAAUGUAAGUCGGGGCGUGAAAUCCCCAGGCUCAACCUGGGAACUGCACUCGAAACUGCGUUUCUUGAGUAUCGGAGAGGAAAGCGGAAUUCCUGGUGUAGAGGUGAAAUUCGUAGAUAUCAGGAGGAACACCAGUGGCGAGGCGCUUUCUGGAC